AUUGAACGCUGGCGGCAGGCCUAAUACAUGCAAGUCGAGCGGAGCGGCGGACGGGUGAGUAAUGCCUAGGAGUCUGCCUUGUCGUGGGGGAUAACGUCCGGUCACGGGCGCUAAUCCCGCAUACUUUCAGAUGGGCCUAGGUCGGAUUAGCUAGUUGGUGGGGUAAAGGCCUACCAAGGCGACGUUCCGUAACUGGUCUGAGAGGAUGAUCGGUCACACUGGAACUGAGACACGGUCCAGACUCCAACGGGAGGCAGCAGUGGGGAAUAUUGGGCAAUGGGCGAAAGCCUGAUGCAGCCAUGCCGCGUGUGUGAAGAAGGUCUUCGGAUUGUAAAGCACUUUAAGUUGGGAGGCGUUACCAACAGAAAAAGCACCGGCUAACUUCGUGCCAGCAGCCGCGGUAAUUC
rnacentral:rRNA from 1 species